UGGGGAAUUUUGGACAAUGGGGGGAAACCCUGAUCCAGCCAUCCCGCGUGUGCGAUGAAGGCCUUCGGGUUGUAAAGCACUUUUGGCAGGAAAGAAACGUCGUGGGUUAAUACCCCGCGAAACUGACGGUACCUGCAGAAUAAGCACCGGCUAACUACGUGCCAGCAGCCGCGGUAAUACGUAGGGUGCAAGCGUUAAUCGGAAUUACUGGGCGUAAAGCGUGCGCAGGCGGUUCGGAAAGAAAGAUGUGAAAUCCCAGAGCUUAACUUUGGAACUGCAUUUUUAACUACCGGGCUAGAGUGUGUCAGAGGGAGGUGGAAUUUCCGCGUGUAGCAGUGAAAUGCGUAGAUAUGCGGAGGAACACCGAUGGCGAAGGCAGCCUCCUGGGAUAACACUGACGCUCAUGCACGAAAGCGUGGGGAGCAAACAGGAUUAGAUACCCUGGUAGUCCACGCCCUAAACGAUGUCAACUAGCUGUUGGGGUCUUCGGACCUUGGUAGCGCAGCUAACGCGUGAAGUUGACCGCCUGGGGAGUACGGUCGCAAGAUUAAAACUCAAA
rnacentral:rRNA from 1 species